rnacentral:misc_RNA from 1 species
UAAAAUAGUUUUUUUUCAACAUGUAAAAUGAUCCAAAGCCCCAAUGCCCAGUGUUCAUGCCUAAACAAGCUCUUCAAGUUCUUAAAGAUGGAGUGUUGAAUAGAAUGCAAGGAUAGAGAAGUAGAUUUUAUCAGCUACCAGUAAGAAACUUUGUUAAAGGCUGUUAUUCAAGCCAUCCCUUCCUAUGUGAUGACUAUUUUCAAGCUUCCAGCGGGUUUUAUUUUUGAAUUGAAACAAUUAAUAGUGUGCUUUUGAUGGCAUCAAUUUAUGGACAAAAA